rnacentral:rRNA from 1 species
CCUACGGGGGGCAGCAGUGGGGAAUAUUGGGCAAUGGAGGCAACUCUUACCCAGCAAUGCCGCGUGAAGGAAGAAGGCUUUCGGGUUGUAAACUUCUUUGACAGGGGAAGAGCAGAAGACGGUACCCUGAAAACAAGCCACGGCUAACUACGUGCCAGCAGCCGCGGUAAUACGUAGGUGGCAAGCGUUGUCCGGAUUUACUGGGUGUAAAGGGCGUGUAGCCGGGAAGGCAAGUCAGAUGUGAAAUCUGGAGGCUCAACCUCCAAAUUGCAGUUGAAACUGUUUUUCUUGAGUACUGGAGAGGCAGACGGAAUUCCUUGUGUAGCGGUGAAAUGCGUAGAUAUAAGGAGGAACACCAGUGGCGAAGGCGGUCUGCUGGACAGCAACUGACGGUGAGGCGCGAAAGCGUGGGGAGCAAACAGGAUUAGAUACCCGUGUAGUC